rnacentral:lncRNA from 1 species
CAUGCAUUCACUGGCCUGCAUCAGGGGUGGAAAAAACCCAUUACCAGACGUCCGAGUCCAGUGUUUUUUUCUGUUGGGCAAGCAAAUUUGUAUAUUACACUGUACCGGUGUCCAGUUGACUUUCCAAC